AUGGUGCGGCGGCAAGCCGUCCACGGCAUGGUCUGUGGAGGAGGACCAGCUGUUGCUCUGAGGUCUCUCCCGAAGAAGAAGAAGAAAGCUGCUAAGGGAGUUCAAUUGGGGCAAGAAAAAUCUGCAGGAGGAAAUGUUACCAAGGUUAUGACCGUGAAGAUAAGUUACUGGUUCGUAGAUUCAGACAGUUCACUGCUGCACUUCACUGCCCAAUUUGAACGCUCACACCUGGGCACGAACGGGUUGGUACAGCUGUACGAAACCAUCGACGGUGCUGCCGCACUUGUGCUAGUUAGUAGGGAGAAAGCUAAGAACCUUGGCCUUCAAGUUCUUGCAAGGACAAGAGGGGGUGAUUGGCGCAGAGUACCGCUGCCCGGUGGGUGUCAUGCUCUUCAACCACUUGGAGGUGGAGUUCGCCGCGAAGCUCGGCGACUACGUCGCAUAGAUGAUCGUCCAGUUGAGAUGUUCAUUGUUGCAUCCAUGAACGGUGCAAGUGUUAAAAUGGUCCUGUGA
rnacentral:rRNA from 1 species